AAUUCGGUGGUGGAUGAAGUGCAAUCUAGGAUGGUCGGACGUCGGAAUCCUGUGCUGCAUACCUAAUGCCUAGGCAUUGUGCACUCACAAAUGGUCACCUUUCUCCCUUCGAGUCUCAUGUGCGGGGUGAACCCAAAAGACGCUUUCGCAUCCCACGCAUUCCCUCGCCAGUUGCUGUGAUGAUUCAUAAUAACUCGACGGAUCGCACGGCCAUCGUGCCGGCGACGCAUCAUCCAAAUUUCUGCCCUAUGAACUUUUGAUGGUAGGAUAGUGGCCUAUCAUGGUGGUGACGGGUGACAGAGAAUUAGGGUUCGAUUCCG
rnacentral:rRNA from 1 species